UGCCCCAUGGCUGAGUUGGUUACAGUGUCUGAGUGUUAUGAAGGGGUUCCUCAUUGCAAUUUUGAUUGGAAGGUCGAGAGUUCGAGCCUCUAUGGAGCAG